rnacentral:rRNA from 1 species
UACGAAGGGGGCUAGCGUUGCUCGGAAUCACUGGGCGUAAAGCGCACGUAGGCGGACUCUUAAGUCGGUGGUGAAAUCCUGGAGCUCAACUCCAGAACUGCCUUCGAUACUGGGACGUCUCGAGUUCCGGGAGAGGUGAGUGGAACUGCGAGUGUAGAGGUGAAAUUCGUAGAUAUUCGCAAGAACACCAGUGGCGAAGGCGGCUCACUGGCCCG